CCUUGCCGCGGCUGGGGCUAGGACCCGAAAAUAAACAAGCCGGAUAUGACGCACGCCUCCUCCCAGGAUGGCGGCUGGCCGGGUUGUCAUGGGAACCGGUCGGAGCCGAGCUGGAAGAGGCUCGGAUUCGCGAGCGCCAAUGGAGCGACUCUCUGACUUCGUUUCCAGGACUUGGAUCUUGUGAGACAAUCCGUGAGUUGCGCUUCCGACUGCGCCUGAGCAGAAGCUGACAUUUGGACCCCUUGCCCCCAUUUUACAGGCGGAAAUACCAAGGCUUAAAGAGAGCGAGAUGCCCAAGAUCACGCGUGACGGAAUCCAGCUUUGAGAGGACUGUAGAUAUAACAGACUGUCGUUAGGAACGGAGGUCCCACUUUACCUUUGCCACUUACUAGCUGCGUGACUUUGGGCAAGUUAAUUAGCCUCUCUGAGUCUCUGGUUUUACACUUGUAAAAUAAUAAUAAUAAUAAUACUGCCUCCUGGGAUUCAGCCAGUGUUGAGAAAGACCAAACCAAAAUAUGGCCUCCUUGCUUUGGGACUUUUUACUUGGUACCUGCCAUACCUGCGUGGCCUUACACUGGCAUCAAUCCUGGUGGCUUGUCACUUCACUUCAUGGAUUUGUCUCUAUUUCCACCCACCACAUUGACCGGGAGCUCCUGGAAGACUCUGCUCACUAAAUCCCUCAUGCUUGCAAAGUGCCAAGCACAUACUCAAGACUUUGGUGAACAUACUGCAAUUGAACCAUUCAUUUUGUUUCUCUACCUUAGCCACUAGACAUUCACUGAAGACUUAGAGCCCACAAGUGCCAAGCCCUCUUUCUCCAACAUGCUCUUAGCUCCCUGCACUUAAACAUGCUCUUCCACCCUUCUGUCCUCUGUGCCUCUAUAUGCUGUUCCCUCAGUGUGAAUGUUCUUCCCCUCACCUCUUCCCUUCCUCUUUUUCUUGGCUUCCAGCUCCAGCUCAAUCCUAGCAUCCUUUCUGAAGCUUUCUCUGAUUUAUAGGUAAACACCCAACUUCCUCUAAUUCCAUACAACACUGUUUCCAAAUUUUAUCUCAGCUCUUACCACAGUAGAUUUUAUAUAUAUAUUUUAAACCUAACACCCCCACAAGACCUGGAGCUCCUUACUUAUCUGUUUCUCCUGAGCUCUGUACAUAUCUAUCAGGAGGUGCCCAACAGAUGUUCCUUGAUUGCAGGAUUCUCUCUUUCAGCCUUGGUGUCUCCAGCUAAAGCUGGCAGGUCUUGUCUCAGGACUUAAAGACAUAAUACAUGGGGAAGCAUUUGGAGAACCAGCAACUUGCUAUUCACACAACAGCAAUUACUGUAUUUAUCUGAGCUGGUCUGAACACAACUCAAGGUCUUUGUUUAUGUCAGCCUUUAUCAGCUCAUGUUUAAUCUCCUCUCUUAAUUACCUGCAAGGUGAUGGUGUUUACAGGAAUUCCAGCAAAAAAAAACAACUGUCCCACUUAAACUCACUUUCUUUGAACAACUCAAAACUGUCCUUUGGAAACAGUUACAUGACUGCAUGAGACUGCUAAGCUAAUAAGUUCCUCCCAACUCUGUGGUUCCGUGACAGCCAAAGUCUCUGAAGGCAGCCACAUUUCUCGUCUUUUAGACAGGGUUGAAGACCUGAGAUUUCUCUACUUGGUGACAUAGAAUUACAGGAGCAUCCUUUUCAUUUUUUAUUACAUAAUGAUUAGCAGAUUGUAUAACAGUCCUGUGACAAUGACUAGGCACUUCUACUUCCUAAGGGCUGAUAACACCAACACGAAUAAUCUACCUACUUCUUUCUAUUUUUUAAUUUUUUUUAAUCACAUGAAUUUCAAUGAUGCCAACGUGUAUAGAACAAAAAGUGUAAAAGAAAAAGCAACGCUCUCACCCAGCAGUUUGGUUCCUUGGAAUCUACCAGAGAAACAAGCACCAGUGCACAGAGACCUGUUGCAUCACUGUCUGUAAUGCAAAAACCAAAACCAGAAACAUGCUCAAUGUCCAUCCACAGGAGAAUGGUGUACAUGCUAAUGACUACUAUGUAUCACUUGAAGAGGAUGAGAUGUAAACCUGCAAGGCAUACUGAGGAAUGAAAAAAAGAAAGACAUAUCCUGGGAAAACAAAACACCAAUACUAUGUAUUUUCUAAGGAUACAUAUAUAUGUAUAAAGUCAAGACAAUAAUGCAAA